rnacentral:rRNA from 1 species
AGAGUUUGAUCCUGGCUCAGAACGUACGCUGGCGGCACACCUAACACAUGCAAGUCGAACGAAGUAGCAAUACUUAGUGGCAGACGGGUGAGUAACAUGUAGGUAUCUACCCUUUGGCCUGGAAUAACACGAGGAAACUUGUGCUAAUACCGGAUAAGUCUUUACGGAGAAAGCUUUAUGCACCAUUGGAUGAGCCUGCACUUGAUUAGUUUGUUGGUGGGGUAAUGGCCUACCAAGACUGUGAUCAAUAGCUGAUUUGAGAGGAUGAUCAGCCACAUUGGGACUGAGACACGGCCCAAACUCCUACGGGAGGCAGCAGUGGGGAAUCUUGCACAAUGGAGGAAACUCUGAUGCAGCGAUGCCGCGUGAGUGAAGAAGGCCUUUGGGUUGUAAAGCUCUUUCGUCGGGGAAGAAAAUGACUGUACCCGAAUAAGAAGGUCCGGCUAACUUCGUGCCAGCAGCCGCGGUAAUACGAAGGGACCUAGCGUAGUUCGGAAUUACUGGGCUUAAAGAGUUCGUAGGUGGUUGAAAAAGUUGGUGGUGAAAUCCCAGAGCUUAACUCUGGAACUGCCAUCAAAACUUUUCAGCUAGAGUAUGAUAGAGGAAAGCAGAAUUUCUAGUGUAGAGGUGAAAUUCGUAGAUAUUAGAAAG